rnacentral:rRNA from 1 species
GGUACACGCUGUGACUAGCAUAUCAAUAAGCGGAGGAAAAGAAACUAACAAGGAUUCCCCUAGUAACGGCGAGUGAAGCGGGAAGAGCUCAAAUUUGAAAUCUUAAAGGGUUUCCCUUUACGAAUUGUAGUUUAAAGAAGUGUUUUCUGUUGAGGUUUUGGUAAAAGUUCUUUGGAAUAGGACAUCAUAGAGGGUGAGAAUCCCGUAUUUGACCUUUACUUUCAACUUUGUGAUACACUUUCAAAGAGUCGGAUUGUUUGGGAAUGCAGUCCAAAAUGGGUGGUAAAUUUCAUCUAAAGCUAAAUAUUGGCGAGAGACCGAUAGCGAACAAGUACCGUGAGGGAAAGAUGAAAAGAACUUUGAAAAGAGAGUUAAACAGUACGUGAAAUUGUCAAAAGGGAAGCGUUUGACACCAGUGUUGUUUUUCUGAAAAUCAAUUAAAGAACUGUUUAUGCUAAGCUGUUUAGACUUUAUCAGCUAACUGUUUAGUUUUGAGCUUUUCUUUAAUGCACUUUUCAGUUAACAAGUCAACAUCAAUUUCUUUUGCUGUAAAAAAGCUUGAGGAAGGUGGCUUGAGAUUCGUCUUAAGUGUUUAUAGCCUCUUGCCUAUGCAGUCGGAGAGAUUGAGGUCUGCAGCGUAGAUCCUUCGGGGCUAAAUGCAUUUGUGCUAAGUUAUAACAUUUUAUAGACAACUUGUUGACUAUGAUUUGUCUUGUAGCUUACUCGCUUAUGUUAUUUUACCUACGCUUAGGAUGUUGACGCGCGUGUGUGCGUG